rnacentral:rRNA from 1 species
UACGAAGGGGGCGAGCGUUGUUCGGAAUUACUGGGCGUAAAGGGCGCGUAGGCGGCGACUCAAGUCAGACGUGAAAGUCCUGGGCUUAACCUGGGGACUGCAUUUGAUACUGGGUUGCUUGAAUUCGGGAGAGGAUAGCGGAAUUCCCAGUGUAGAGGUGAAAUUCGUAGAUAUUGGGAAGAACACCGGUGGCGAAGGCGGCUAUCUGGACCGACAUUGACGCUGAGGCGCGAAAGCGUGGGGAGCAAACAGG